UUAAAUUUGAAUUGAGUGGAGCAUUCCUGACAUUUGCAUGCUGAAUGAUAAUUUAUCCAUGCAGCCUAGGGCCAGGUGCCCUUGGACAGUAGGGUGAUUGCUGGAAGACAGGGAUCUAUGUCAAUCAAGGGUUCACAAGAAAGAGGCAUGGCAGGAAGAUACUUAGGGCAGGAGCCUUGUCCGGGUCAGCGCCAAAGCCUCAGGCAGAGGGGACAGCUGCAAAGAGAGGCUGGAGACAGACCCUGGCUUUUGUGAAAUCCUGGGGAAGGGGAGGCCAAGUCCACGUGAAGGCCCCGGAGAACUGAGUGUCCACAGGUUCUACUUCUGUCCCAGCAGCCAUGCAAGGAUAGACUGAGGCAAUCCCAGUUCCACUGGGCGCCUUGACAAGUCAGGAGGGAUCAAAACAGGUAACUGGGUCACACGUGGAUGAUUCUCUAGUUAUGCCCUCAGUUGUCAGACCUUUUGGGCGGGGGGAUGGCAGUGCAGUGGGAAUCCACUGAACUUAAACAUCAGCAGUCUGGGGUUGAGACCUGCUGCUCAAGAAACCAUAUUUCCAUUGAAUCUUCAGCCAAGUCUCAUUGAAUGACUCCUCUCUGAGGGUUACCCCUUUGGAGUCUCAUUGAAUGACUCCUCUCUGAGGGUUACCCCUUUGGAGUCCUGUGGUUUUUGUCUGCUGCUACAAAUGAAAUGCAUUCCCUCAACUGGUUCCUAACUGUCUGAACUAAAGCUAAAAAGCACACUUUUUUAGAAAAUGUAUUCAUUUGCUUGCAUGUGUAUGGGUGUAGGCAAGUAUAUCAUGGCUCACAGGUGGAGGUAGAGGGCAACUUGCAGGAAGGCGCUGGUGCUCUCUUGCUGCCACAUAGGUCCUGGCAAUGAGCUCCUGUCCACAGGCUUGCUGAUAAGUGCCUUUGCAUACCAAGCUAUGUCCUAAGGCCCAACAGACACUCUGUGUGUCCUGGGGUGGGGUGGGGGGUGGGUAUCUCUCUUCUCUUUGUGUUUCUUGUUUGGUAUUUGAGCUCUUUUCCUAAGAGCUCUUUUCCCAACAAGUCACUAGGACAGUUUCGGCCAGGAAGGUCCUCUUGGCUUUAUGGUUUUUCUUUUGUUCUCACCCUGGAGUGGGGUGGGGGGGCUGGCCUCAGCAGCCUUCCUCUUCUGUAAACUGUGGUAGUAAGUCUGCUAAAUAUCUGCCUUACUCUUGUAGUACGGGACUUUCAUCUCAUUGUCUUAUAGAGAUGAGCACAUGACGGAAGGAUGGAGGAUGCUCGGUCUCUCCACGGAUGAAAUGUUUUGUCACACUAAGGAAGAAAUAGUAACACACACAGAGCAGCUUGCCCUGCUGGCCUGCCGAGAGUAAUAAUAGAGACAGCCACCAGGUGCCUUCUCCCUUCCUGGAUGAAGCGCCCAAGAGGCACCUGUUUGUUCUGCCCAAACUGCCCGAAGGGGUCUUUCUCAUUCAUUUUUCCUAGUUAGGUCACUCCUCCACUUUCCCCUGUGGCUUUCUCUAGGACAGAGGUUCCUUUCCACACUAACCACCACAGCAACAUCACCUCUGUCCCUGAGUACCAAGGCAGGAUGACAGUUCCUGCAGGACCUGAGAGUCCUCACUUCUCCCUCGAGUCAGGACUGUGGCUGACUACCUUGGAGGGGUUUUCCUUGCCUGUCUUGCUGCUUGGAAUCUUGAAUCGUCUUUGUAGUGACAUCUGUUGAUUUCCUAGGACUGUGUCCAUUCCCUCCCAUCAUAUUUUUCAGGGAAUUCCUGACAUUCCAUAGUUUGUCUUAAGAUUCCCCACCCCAAUGGCUCUUUGGGGGGGGGUAAUUCCCCCCACAUACACUGAGUAGAAACCAUACUUCAGAUUUCUAAUUUGGACCCUUUGCUGAAUUAGCAAUUAGUGGUCCAGUCUCUCAGGCAGCAAGCACGGUCUCCAAUCAGCCCUCAAUCUCAGAGGAGCAGUCAACACUGUAUAAAGCACUAUGACCAGAGACACCAUGGAGAGGAAAGGAUGUGCUUCGUCUUACACCCUGUAGUCCAGUCCAUCAUCCAUGGAAGUCCGGGAAGAAUCUGGAGGCAGGAACUGGUUCAGGGGACAGGGAGGAGUGCUGCCUUACUGACUUGCUCUCCAGGGCUUGCAUGAACUAUUUUCUUAUGACUCUUAGGAUCAACAACUCAGGGAUGGCCUUGCCCACAAUAAGCUGGCACUUCCACAUCAAUUAGGAAAUCAGGAAAAUGCCCCACAGGCUUGUCUGUAGGUAAAGACUCUGGUAACGCAUUUUCUCACUUGAGGUUCCCUCUUCUCCAGUGACUCCAACUUGUGUCAAGUUGACAUCAAACUAGCCAACGCCGCCAACAGUUCACCCCUGGGACAAAAUACUUGACAAAAUCAAGUGAACAGAGUAGGGGUUUAUUCUGGCUCAGGUUCUUAGAGGUUCCAGUCUGUGGUUGCUUGGUUGUCUUAUCUCUGGACUGUGGUAGGCAGAGGAUGGCUACAGGAAAACGUGAUUACACAUAGCUUCCCAGCUCAUGGCAGAAAGGAGGCCAAAGGGGGUGUGGAGGAAAGGAGCCAGGGACAGAAUCUAGCCCCUCAGGAUCUACUCCCUUCAACGUUACAAUUACCUCCCAAGAGUCUAUUAAAAUACAACCCCAAGAGCCAAAAGCCCCGCCUUGGUACUGUAGUGCUGGGCCUUCAGCAUCCAUCAUCCGGACAUUCUGUGUCCAAACUGCAGCACAGAGAUUAAGGGAGCACCUUUGUUCUCUAUCCGAGGCGUUUCAGGAUAGCAUGUCCUUUGUCUGUAAAGCUAUAAGUCCAUUGCACGGCUAGGAGUUCCGUGUAGGCUAUGGUACAUCUCUAACUCCUUCCAUAUUUGUGGGGAUCUUCUAGGUCCAGUCUUGUGAGCUGGUGUUUUUAUGAUUCAGGACCAGGACAGAGGGACAUCGCCUGGUGUUCUUUGUGCCUUUCCCUCUGAAGAGUCAGUGCUGGUGAGCAGCUGGUCAUUUUUCUUUGACUGCCGUAUCCACUUGUGCGAGUGAGCGUGCUCAGUCCUCCACUUGGCAGAAUUCUGCAAGGUUUUGUCUGUCUUGUGCCUGCUGUUGAUAUCUUUAGACUUUUCUGUUUGCGGUUUUAGUUCCUCUUUGGCACAGAGAGCAGUUGGUAAAUAUAUUUUAAAGUUCCAUUGGUGAGGGAUCCCAGACAGUCACUACUGCUUUUUAUUACACCAUGGUUGGGACAACAGAUCUGCCAUGGCUCCCCACAUAGAAUGACCUUCAGAUGACUCCUGAGCCUGGCACAUUGACUUUUGUGACUGGCCAUGAGCCACUCAGUCCACAACACAGUUUUCUGUUAAUUCUAGCCAUUUGACUAAAACUCUCACCCGCCAUCUUUAAAAAGCCGUUUUUCUUUCCAAAUGCUUUCUAUGUCAAAGAGGAAAUAGGAAACCACAAACAGAAAAAUUCUGAAGAUACUGACAUCAGGCACAAGACAGACAAAAACUUAACAAAAUUCAGCCAAGCAGGGACUGAGGGAGCAGGCUCUCUCACACAAGUGGAUAAGGUGUUCCUUGUGUUAGGCUAAAAACCCAAGUCCUCUGUGUCCUUGUUCAUGUCACUUGUGUAGAUCUGUGCACUUUAUAGACCUCACACUUGGGAGAUAUCCACUCUUUCUCUCCAUAGCCUUGUGUGCAGGAGACAGAUAAGCCCUGCCAGUCACUGCUGCAGCCUACUUAGAGUACUGCCUCCUCUUCCCACACGUUGCUUUUGACAUUUUAUUCUUAAUUGUGCUUGCCUUAGUCACAGCUCUCUAGAGGAGCAGAACAGGUAGAAUGAAUACAUACUGUGAAAGGGGACUUGCUAGAUUGAUGUGCUCCAUGUGGGUUGGGUAGUGCAGCAACAGCUGACUACAUACUGAAGAGACUGGGAACCUGAUAGCUACUUAGUUCACAAGGCUGGGUGCCUCAACGGUCCCAGUCUGGUACUGAAGGCCUAGGCAAUCCCCAGAGAGCCCCUGGUCUUCAGUCCACAGUAGAAAGUCAAAGAAACUGGAGGCUGAUGUCCAUGAGAGAUGUCGAUCAGGGAGGAGGCAGCAGCAGCAGCAGCAGCAGUGUAGAUGCGCACACCAGCAAGAAGGGAAGGCAGGUGAGCAAGAAGUGGCUUUCCUGAGGAUCUCUUUGUAUCUGGGCCACAGCUCGAAGGCAUUGCUCACUCUGAGGGGAGACUUUUCUUUCCACAGUUUAUCCCUUUC
rnacentral:lncRNA from 1 species